rnacentral:piRNA from 1 species
UGCAGAGGUCUCAGCAUGAGGUGGAGC